rnacentral:lncRNA from 10 species
CUAUUAUACAAGUUUCUUUAUGAAGAUAAGUUGUCAUUUCACUUGGAUAUAUGCCCAGGAGUACAACUUCUGGAUCAUGAGUGAGUAGAAAACUCCUGAAGGUACGCUCUGCUGUUCGGCUUCCUUUCCACCGUGCUGAAGAUUUGGCCAGCUCUAAGAAGAGCACCAGCAGGAAAUUGGACCAAGGUACGAAACCAAACAUACUAAUUUUUAAAGCAACGGGGAGAUCUUUUUCCAGAUGGAAUCUUCUACUUUGGUUUCAGGGACAACACAGAGGUCAGUGUGGCUGGAGCAAAGGAAACAAGGAGAGGAGAUGAAAGUGCUACACUGAGUAUGAUGAGAAGUCAGUGGAAGCCUUCAAACCUUCACAUUAUCUACUGUCCUCUGAAUUUCACGUAUGUGAAAACCCGAGGCUAAGAGAAGGAAGACCAAUAUGAAGACCUGAAUACACUGCAACAAGUGCUAUAGACAAAGUAAAAUCAACUGCUGCGUGAAUGUUCAUUACAUCUGGGAGGAUGUGGCAAGAUUUCUUGGAGGAGUUACUGUUCACCUUGGAUCUUUUCGAGAGACAUGGAUGGGCUAAGGGCAUUCCAGACACAUGGUCAAGAAAAAUAUCCCUUUUGAUUUUGU